AUCUGAAUGUCUCUUCAAAGAAGCCUACUCAAUUGCUCUAUACUCUUUUCACCUGCGAUAGCAUACAAAACUAUCGCAGAGUGGUGAACUUAGUGGUGCACAACUAUAACUUAAAACAUAGUACAAUAUACCUUAGUAAAAUUACAGCAAAUAAUUUGGAAAUCAGGAUACUCAUCAAAUUUCAAAAAUCAAAUUAUUCAUUGCCAAUGACAUAAAUCAUUUGUAUGAAAUGACUUUAAUCACGAAAUUUAAUUUAUCAAAUCAUGACUAACCA
rnacentral:misc_RNA from 1 species